UCAAUCUGACUAGCCUGGGAUGUCACUCCCCCAAGUUAUGGCCAAGUGGCUUAGGGCAGCGUAAGUGUCUCCCCAAAGAAGUACAGUCCCUUUCCAUAACACUGAAAAGGAAGCCAAAUGUUGAGUCUGCACCAGCAUAUUCCUACAACUUCUCAGAGUCCUGAGAAUAAUGACUGAAGAGAUAAACCUAAACCAUACAGGAAACAAUG
rnacentral:snoRNA from 1 species